ACUCGCAGGAAGCCAGGGAGAGGUCCCGCAGAGGUUCGAGCACAAUUACGAAAAUCCGCCAAGCGUUGGACUUCAUGAGGAACCAGACUUUGGAAGUCCCGUUCAUAGCAUUCUACCGCAAGGAGUACGUUCAGCCUGAGCUCAAUAUCAACGACUUGUGGAAGGUGUACAAAUAUGAUGCUAAGUGGUGUCAACUGAAACAGCGCAAAGAGAAUCUUCUGAAACUACUGGAGAACAUGAGGGAUUACCAACUGGACAAGGUGAUGC
rnacentral:lncRNA from 1 species